CUUUUCUUUUCUUCUCUGCUAAUAAAUAUCUAUGGUAAUGUGUUUUGAUCCACAUCUUGAAUUUGGAUUCAGAUUCACUUUGCAGUGUGAAGUCAUAAGGUAUUCUUCUUGUUCAUAUUGUAUCAAUCAUUUUCAUUCAGCUAAUGCUGGAGUUACAAGAAUAAUUGAUCUAAAACUAUAUAUUUUUUAACCUUUUAAUAUGUCUAUGUUAUGCUAGAAAAUCAGAUUUAAAUAAUAUGCCUGUUUGUUUGAGAAAAUAGGAACUUCAUUGAGAUCAGAAUAGCAUGAGAUUGAGAAAUGUGUUAGUAGUUAGCAUUGAGGGAUGGUCUAAAAGAGCUUCUUUCAGCCCACUCAUGGCUGAGAUUUGGGGUUGAACUAGCUGCCGACUCAUUCGUUUAACCAUUCCGUAGAAUGCAAGGACCUUGUGCUACUGUGGUUGAGUGAAUGAUGCGGGAGAUAGUUUCACGUCCCUCUCCGUCUAUGCUUGGACUGAAGGGAGCUCCUCUUGCUGUUCCCUUCAUCGCCUUGUUUCAAUGUCAUAUCUAGUGUUUAAUAACUUGAAGUCAUGUUGCCUUCGUUGUUUGCUGCGUUCGUUAAAAUUUUGUUGUUGUUGCUGCUGUUAAUUUGUAGAUAAAAUGGUUGUAAAUUUCUGUGAAUUGAUUGGAAUCUCUGUUUGAUUCCCUCUCUGGUUCCUGCAUUGGCUAAUUCUACUUCAGAAAAUGGGAUUUCAUACUUCAUACUAUUGAAUUGCUUCCUUACAACCAUAGAUUCAUCAUUGACUAAUUUCGAGAUUGUAUGUUACUCUUUGCCAAAACGAAAUCCACCCAAGUAGUAUCAACAAUGCUAGACGGUGCGAGUGGAGUCCUUCAUGGUGUUGCCUUUUUCAGCUCAUAUUAGUUCCCCUUUUCGCCAAGCCCGUUUUCUAUUUACAACUUCCUAGGUUUUCUUUUACAGAUUCACUUUAUUCUCGGUAUAGCCAGGAUACCGUUUACCAUCGGUUUUACAUCAGAAGAUGAUGAGUUUCUACCACCAUGGUGUUGAUUGUUAAGUCUAUUUUAGAAGUUUUUAGUACUACAUGUUAUGGUGCAGUGUAUAAGUGCGAAUCCGGCCCACCAUGGCUUUAGAGGUUCCGGCCCACCAUGGCUUUAGAGGUUCGUUGUGGACUAUCUACGAUGGCUCAGCCUAUUUCGAAUCAAAGUUAUCGAAUUCUAGAAACAGGAGGAGGGUGGUGGUGGUGGUGGUGUGGUGUGUUGCAUUAUUAGGGCUUAUUGUGUGAAGAGAUAAGAUAGAUAAUCACAUAAUGGAGGAUCUUGGUGGUCCUGGUUGAAGAAAUGUGGUGAUGGUACAGGUUUUUAUUUGAAUGCAACUCAAAGUUUGGAGCAGUA